CGCGCCUAAUACAUGCAAGUCGAGCGAGAAGACGUAGCAAUACGUUUGUAAAGCGGCGAACGGGUGAGGAAUACAUGGGUAACCUACCCUCGAGUGGGGAAUAACUAGCCGAAAGGUUAGCUAAUACCGCGUACGCUUCUUGGACUUCGGUUCAGGGAGGAAAGCGAUACCGUGGGUAUCGCGCUCUUGGAUGGGCUCAUGUCCUAUCAGCUUGUUGGUGAGGUAACGGCUCACCAAGGCUUCGACGGGUAGCUGGUCUGAGAGGACGAUCAGCCACACUGGCACUGCGACACGGGCCAGACUCCUACGGGAGGCAGCAGUAAGGAAUAUUGCGCAAUGGGCGAAAGCCUGACGCAGCGACGCCGCGUGGGGGAUGAAGGUCUUCGGAUUGUAAACCCCUUUCGGGAGGGAAGAUGGAAUGGGGUAACCCAUUUGGACGGUACCUCCAGAAGCAGCCACGGCUAACUUCGUGCCAGCAGCCGCGGUAAUACGAAGGUGGCAAGCGUUAUUCGGAUUUACUGGGCGUACAGGGGAGCGUANGCGGUUCGGUAAGCCCUCUGUGAAAUCUUCAGGCUUUAACCUGGAACAGUCGGAGGGGACUGCUGGGCUAUAGGACGGGAGAGGAGCGCGUAAUUCCCGGUGUAGCGGUGAAAUGCGUUAGAGAUCGGGAGGAAGGCCGGUGGCGAAGGCGGCGCUCUGGAACGUUUCUGACGCUUGAGGCUCGAAAGCGUGGGGGAGCAAACAGGAUUA
rnacentral:rRNA from 1 species